rnacentral:misc_RNA from 1 species
CCAAUUUCCUCCACAAGGAUGUCUGCACAG